rnacentral:snoRNA from 1 species
ACCAAUUCUGGAAGAUAAUCUGUUCUACUUGGUUGGCAUAAUGGCACAGAUGCUAGAAUCGGUAUAGUGGCUUCCCCCUUUUUUCUUUGUAUCAUCAGAUCCUGGAAACACCUCAUAAAUCA